rnacentral:rRNA from 1 species
GGAUCCAGACUUUGAUUAUGGCUCAGGAUAAACGCUGGCGGCGCACAUAAGACAUGCAAGUCGAACGGAAGUCGUUGUAAUGAUAUAGACAUGGACUGAGAACUUGUUCAAAGAAAGUGAAAGUUGACUUACAACAAUGGCUUUAGUGGCGGACUGGUGAGUAACACGUAAGCAACCUGCCUAUCAGAGGGGAACAACAGUUAGAAAUGACUGCUAAUACCGCAUAUGCCUUAGCAACACAUGUUGCAAAAGGGAAAGGAGCAAUCCGCUGAUAGAUGGGCUUGCGUCUGAUUAGAUAGUUGGUGGGGUAACGGCCUACCAAGUCGACGAUCAGUAGCCGGACUGAGAGGUUGGACGGCCACAUUGGGACUGAGAUACGGCCCAGACUCCUACGGGAGGCAGCAGUCGGGAAUAUUGCGCAAUGGAAGAAACUCUGACGCAGUGACGCCGCGUGCAGGAAGAAGGUUUUCGGAUUGUAAACUGCUUUAGACAGGGAAGAACAAAGACAGUACCUGUAGAAUAAGCUCCGGCUAACUACGUGCCAGCAGCCGCGGUAAUACGUAGGGAGCAAGCGUUAUCCGGAUUUAUUGGGUGUAAAGGGUGCGUAGACGGUAAUGCAAGUUAGUUGUGAAAUCCCUCGGCUUAACUGGGGAACUGCAACUAAAACUACAUUUCUUGAGUAUUGGAGGGGAAAGUGGAAUUCCUAGUGUAGCGGUGAAAUGCGUAGAUAUUAGGAGGAACACCGGUGGCGAAGGCGACUUUCUGGACAAUUACUGACGUUGAGGCACGAAAGUGUGGGGAGCAAACAGGAUUAGAUACCCUGGUAGUCCACACCGUAAACGAUGGAUACUAGGUGUAGGAUGUGAUAAACAUUCUGU